rnacentral:lncRNA from 1 species
AUGUCUACAACUAAUAGCUCAGCAGACAGAUAUCGUAUCACUAGUAUUCAGGAUCUCCUCAGUUUCUUGCUGGGAUGCUUCCUUUUUUUGGGGUGUAUCGGCUUUCCUAUUUUUUUUAUUUGCCAGGCGAUAAUGACACAUCCGGAGACAUACAAAGUCCCUGAAUUCAACGUCACCAAUGCUCAGCUCAAUCGAUUGAAUUACACCGAAACUAACCAUACUCUCUCUUACAACCUCGCCCUCAACAUCACCCUCACAAACCCCAAUAAGAAAAUCUUAUUUAAGUUGACUGACAUCCAAGUCAUUGCAUACCACCAAAACAAGAGAUUUGGUCUUGUGACUUUGAUGGAUAGGCAAACAUCGUUUGAUCAAAACCCUAAAAGUUCAAGCGUUUUUAAUAAUGCAGUUAUUCAAGGGUGGAAGCCUAUGAUGUUUGAGGAACCAGUGCUUCCCAAUGCUGACCUUUACAAUAUUGAUGUGGUGAUUGCUUUCCGAGAAAAAGGUGGUGGAUUGUCUGGCCAAGUCAUGUGCAAUCUGAAGCUUCCAUUGAGUUUUAAUGGAACAUCAUGGAAUUGUUACAAGACUACAAAGUGCUCCAAAGUUUUUUAUUAUCGGGGUUCCUAA